AUACAGUAACCAUAUUCACGUAGGUUCUGAGUGUUGCGAUUGUGACUAUUCGACCUAUCCAAUCAUCGGGUACCAUUGCUAGAUGGUCACUUCGAUUAGUACAGAAAUUGGUUCCUGUGCUACCGGCUUAGGUUCGAACCUGCGGGGUCACAUACAUUAGAGGUUCCUACCUGAUCUGAUGGCUGAUGAAGAGUCAUAAUGCUUGUGGACUAUGAGUCCUACAUGUCUGGGACUCUGUGAUCGAGAAUCAGGAUUCUCUGAUCAUGAGUCCCACACAU
rnacentral:lncRNA from 1 species